rnacentral:lncRNA from 1 species
GCAACGUAACUGCCAGGUGAUCUGUCUUCACUCCCAUUUCCUCUGACACCAAAUGUAUGGAGUUGGAUCUUUCUUUUAUUUUUCCUUUCACGAACCUAUUCCCGGAUUCUCCAGACACAAGCUGAGUGUCCAGCGAUUCAGCUCAAUUCCGAUCUAACUACACAGAGUUAGCACAGACCCCACAGGUUAAAGUCCCCCCAGAUUCCUCCCACUUCAGACGCCAGCCCCAAGUCCCAGUCCACCCAUACUUCUUACCAGUAUAAUAAUAUAAAUCAGGGGUUCCCACAACCCCCUCCCCAGGUUCAGGGAUUUGUUUGAAAGGCCCCAGAAAAGCCCUGUACUUUCUGUCAGCGGUUUUAUUAUAAGGGGCACAACCCAGGAGCAGUCAAAUGGAAGAGAGGCAACUCAGGGUCACACAGCAUCUCUGCCCUCUCUGGGUCCACACCUCAGUGUGCUCCAACCUGAAGCUUUAGGGGUUUACGGUGGUUUCAGGACCCAGGUGUGACUGACUAAGCCGUCGACCAUGGUGAUCAACUCAGUGUCCAGCCAUUCUCCUCUCCCCAGAGGUGGGGGUGGUGGAGAGGAAGCUCCUCCCCUCAGCCAAGCCCAGGUCUUGUAGUGACCAGCCCCCAACCUGAAGAAGCCUCCCAGGGGCCCAGUCACCUCCGUAGCCUGCAAACAUUCCCCAUCACUCUGGAGAUUCCGAGGGUCGCAGGAGGUGUGUGCCAGGAACCAGGGACAAGGACCACACCCACGUCCACUCCUCAUCGCGGGGGACCAAGCUCACUGGGCACUCUGUCAACCAGGAGCACUGGCCUGGCCGACAGGGAGGCAGCUGCUUGGGGAACGCGAAGGCGGUGAAGGAACGACAUCAGGGGUGGGACGGCAGACGGGCUCCUCCGCGGGCCUCCUCCACUGCAGACCGACCUGAUGGUUCAGGCCCAGAGUCUCCUCUACGACUCAGUGGAUUUUGUUUAAAGCAACAUAAGUUGGGUGGUUGGAGGGCAUGAAGGAUCAGGGCAGUGUGCUAGCCAGGAGGAGGACAAGGGCAAAUGGCCACCCUGAAGGCCACAGGGACACAGGCAGAAGUGACUGCCCAAGACAAAGAGCCUGGAGAGGCUCCGUCCCUUCCUGAGCCAAACUGUGCUGCCCAGAGGCCUCACCCCACCUCUUCGACCCCCAGCAACCACGUUCUGAGAGGGGCAGAGGCCCAAACCAACUGUUCCUGGCUGGACCGGGCACACUGGCCUCUACCUCAGCCCCGGGUUCUCCAGGGUCUCCAGGAACCUCCAAGGCCUGGCUGGGGGCACAGAGCAGCCGCAGAGGGCCAGAAAAGGAAGAGCGCAGGAUCAAUUGCAUAUAGACCUCAUCACAGAAUCCACAUUGUCUUCAAAUUGUUUAAGCCCCAAGAACAUAGUGAAUUCCACCAGGGAAUACGGUGGGGGGCUCUCAAGGGCAGGGUGAGGACCCCCUCCAUCCUUCUGGUUUCUAGGCUGCAAAAUUCUCCA